UCACUGUAAAUCCAGGAAGGUGUGAUGU
rnacentral:piRNA from 1 species